rnacentral:rRNA from 1 species
AUUGAACGCUGGCGGCAGGCCUAACACAUGCAAGUCGAGCGAGUGGCGGACGGGUGAGUAAUGCUUGGGAAUCUAGCUUAUGGAGGGGGAUAACUACGGGAAACUGUAGCUAAUACCGCGUACCAUAGGAUGAGCCCCAGUGGGAUUAGGUAGUUGGUGAGGUAAAGGCUCACCAAGCCGACGAUCUCUAGCUGGUCUGAGAGGAUGACCAGCCACACUGGGACUGAGUCACGGCCCAGACUCCUACGGGAGGAAGCAGUGGGGAAUAUUGCGCAAUGGGGGCAACCUGACGCAGCCAUGCCGCGUGAAUGAAGAAGGCCUUCGGGUUGUAAAGUUCUUUCGGUAGCGAGGCGUUAACUACAGAAGAAGCACCGGCUAACUCCGUGUCAGCAGCCGCGGUAAUUC